AGACUUGAUCUCUUAGUAACGAAGCUAACGCGAUAAGUUGACCGCCUGGGGAGUACGGCCGCAAGGUUAAAACUCAAAUGAAUUGACGGGGGCCCGCACAAGCGGUGGAGCAUGUGGUUCAAUUCGAAGCAACGCGAAGAACCUUACCUACUCUUGACAUCCAGCGAACUUGGCAGAGAUGCCUUGGUGCCUUCGGGAACGCUGAGACAGGUGCUGCAUGGCUGUCGUCAGCUCGUGUUGUGAAAUGUUGGGUUAAGUCCCGUAACGAGCGCAACUCUUAUCCUUAUUUGCCAGCACUUCGGGUGGGAACUCUAAGGAGACUGCCGGUGACAAACCGGAGGAAGGUGGGGAUGACGUCAAGUCAUCAUGGCCCUUACGAGUAGGGCUACACACGUGCUACAAUGGUCGGUACAGAGGGUCGCGAACCUGCGAGGGUGAGCCAAUCUCAGAAAACCGAUCGUAGUCCGGAUUGCAGUCUGCAACUCGACUGCAUGAAGUCGGAAUCGCUAGUAAUCGCGAAUCAGCAUGUCGCGGUGAAUACGUUCCCGGGCCUUGUACACACCGCCCGUCACACCAUGGGAGUGGAUUCCACCAGAAGCAGGUAGCUUAACCUUCGGGAGGGCGCUUGCCACGGUGAGGUUCAUGACUGG
rnacentral:rRNA from 1 species